CUCCUACCUUGUGCCGUUGAAAGAUGGAGUCUUUCCUUUCUCUGUAAGAAUAAUCUGUGUAUGAAUGAGAAUGAAUGAUGAGCAGCAGGAUGAGGAUCAGCAGAGCUCUCCCACACAGCGCUCGGAGACAUUCUGUCCUGGACAAUUAUUUCUGAGUCCACUCCCUACAUCCGCGGGGCGACCGUGCUGGACGGGUUUUACCUCUGACCCCGGGGGGACGCAGUAGGAGGCUCAAUAAAGCUAGUCAUUGCUGCAUACAAAUCACACAAUGGAGAAUGGGAGACUUAAAUAUGGAGCAGAGAGAGAGGAAAUUGGAAACAUCGCUUUCAGCAUUAUGGGCAUAGUGAAGAUGAUCGCUGAAUGUGCAUAUAUAUUGCUGCUUAGGCUAAGAGGAAUAUCAUGGCUGCCAUAGAGAGGAGGAACCAUCACAGAGCAGACAUAUGUGCCCUCACUGUGCUUUCUGGUUGGUUCAAGUUUAAAGGAGGCGUUUCCGCCAGCGAUGGUCUUGACAGUCACUCCUUUGCCUUCACUUUUACC
rnacentral:lncRNA from 1 species